UGGUACCCACAGAAGAAGUCCCGGCUAACUUCGUGCCAGCAGCCGCGGUAAUACGAAGGGGGCUAGCGUUACUCGGAAUUAUUGGGCGUAAAGCGUGCGUAGGCUGCUUAGUAAGUCAAAAGUGAAAGCCUUGGGCUCAACCUAAGAAUUGCUUUUGAAACUACCAAGCUUGAGUACUGUAGGGGAUAGCGGAAUUCCUAGUGUAGGGGUGAAAUUCGUAGAUAUUAGGAGGAACACCGGAGGCGAAAGCGGUUAUCUGGACAGUUACUGACGCUGUUGCACGAAAGCGUGGGGAGCAAACAGGAU
rnacentral:rRNA from 1 species